AUUGAACGCUGGCGGCAUGCCUUACACAUGCAAGUCGAACGGCAGCACGGGUGCUUGCACCUGGUGGCGAGUGGCGAACGGGUGAGUAAUACAUCGGAACAUGUCCUGUAGUGGGGGAUAGCCCGGCGAAAGCCGGAUUAAUACCGCAUACGAUCUACGGAUGAGAGCGGGGGACCUUCGGGCCUCGCGCUAUAGGGUUGGCCGAUGGCUGAUUAGCUAGUUGGUGGGGUAAAGGCCUACCAAGGCGACGAUCAGUAGCUGGUCUGAGAGGACGACCAGCCACACUGGGACUGAGACACGGCCCAGACUCCUACGGGAGGCAGCAGUGGGGAAUUUUGGACAAUGGGCGAAAGCCUGAUCCAGCAAUGCCGCGUGUGUGAAGAAGGCCUUCGGGUUGUAAAGCACUUUUGUCCGGAAAGAAAUCCUUGGCCCUAAUACGGUCGGGGGAUGACGGUACCGGAAGAAUAAGCACCGGCUAACUACGUG
rnacentral:rRNA from 1 species